UGCAAUGCAGCCAACUUUGGCCAAUCAGGGAGCGGGGUCUAAGGAUACAGACAUCAAGGGGAUGUUUCAUCAAACAAUUUCAGGGGACAAACAAGGGAAAAACUACAGUAAAUGUUAAGACACAACCGUAAAACUCGAAAGGCAUUGGGUCUGAACUUCUUGACAACUUCAUCCAGGGCUUUCAUCUUCUGGAGGGUCACACAUUUCUUGUUGUCUUCUCCAGCUUUCAUAUUCAGCAAUGUCCUCACUCCUGAAAGACCAGGAUCCCCUUUCCAGAGUAAUGGAGGAGCAUCGGGAUUUUUUAAUCCAAAAUUCCUGGAUUUGAAUGAAAGGCUCUGGAAAGGCUCUGGAAAUCAUUUGGUGUUCAAAAUCAUCAGUGAAGAUGUUCACCAGGAAUUGCUAAUCACUGGCCUCCAGCUGGAUAUUGCACUCCUGAUCACCACCCUGGCCAGCAGAUUUCCACCAGCCUGCUGUCUGCUCAUCCAGCCCAUACUUCAUAGGCCUCUCUGUGAGGGAGCCCUGUCUGUGUCCACAGGUACACACAUUUAUUUUGAUUUUAAAAAAUCAAACAAAAGUGAGUGUUUUACCACCAGAAUUAUUUUUCAAAGGGAAAUAGAAGUAUAUGGCUUUGAUGGAACGAGUGCCUUCCAGCUCCAUUGGCAGGCACUGUUUGAAAAGUAUUUGGGUGAUGUUUUAUCAGAAAUGAAAGAUACAACAGCAGGAAGCCAUUCAGCAAUCCCUGACAAGGGAGGUCCACUGUCAAUUGCUGGGAGGGCCCCCACCUGUUUCUUUUAAUGGUGCUCCCAAAUCCCACCCCUUGGGCCUCCCAUCCCAUCCUUUUUGGUCCCCUCAGGCAUCUCCUCCCCAGGAUCUGCUCUGUGUCCUACCCAGGGUCCCCAAACAUCCUCCCACUGAUCAUUCCCAAAGCUUUUCUUUCCGUCUUUCCCCUCAGACCUUUGCCUUUCCCCCAGGCCACUGCCCUGGUACCUCCCAAGACCAUUCCUUGCCUCCCUCUCCAGUCCCAACCAUCUCCCAGUCCCCUCGUUUUUGUUCUCCUCCAUCCUCCUCCUCCUGUCCCCACCAAGCCUCUCCCUUGCAGUCCCUAUGUCCCUACACUUGAAUUCCUUUCCCCUCCCCUGCAUCCCACACUGGGCCCCUUCAACACCCCAAUCCCAGUCCCCUGGGCUCCCCAGUUCCCCCCAGUUCAGCAUCUUUGGGUCCCCCCCAACCUCCCCCCACCGUCCCUGCAGGCCCUGAAUUCCCUUGGCUCUCCUUGUCUCCAUCCCCACCCUGGGCCCUGCAGGCACAGGGGUUGGAGGUGAAACUGGGUGGAGUGGG